rnacentral:rRNA from 1 species
CCUACGGGUGGCUGCAGUGGGGAAUAUUGGACAAUGGGCGAAAGCCUGAUCCAGCCAUGCCGCGUGUGUGAAGAAGGCCUUCGGGUUGUAAAGCACUUUCAGUGGGGAAGAAAGCCUUGGGGCUAAUACCCUCGAGGAAGGACAUCACCCACAGAAGAAGCACCGGCUAACUCCGUGCCAGCAGCCGCGGUAAUACGGAGGGUGCGAGCGUUAAUCGGAAUUACUGGGCGUAAAGCGCGCGUAGGCGGUCUGAUAAGCCGGUUGUGAAAGCCCCGGGCUCAACCUGGGAACGGCAUCCGGAACUGUCAGGCUAGAGUGCAGGAGAGGAAGGUAGAAUUCCCGGUGUAGCGGCGAAAUGCGUAGAGAUCGGGAGGAAUACCAGUGGCGAAGGCGGUCUUCUGGACUGACACUGACGCUGAGGUGCGAAAGCGUGGGUAGCAAACAGGAUUAGAUACCCCAGUAGUC